rnacentral:rRNA from 1 species
CUACCUUCAAAUCGGGGAUAACAUUGCGAAAGCGAUGCUAAUACCGGAUGACAUCUAAUGAAUCUUGGUUCAUAAGAUCAAGGGGGGCCUCUACAUAUAAGCUUCCGUUUGAAGAUGAGCCCGCGUACCAUUAGCUUGUUGGUAGGGUAAUGGCCUACCAAGGCAACGAUGGUUAGCUGGUCUGAGAGGAUGAUCAGCCACACUGGAACUGACACACGGUCCAG